AGCUCGGUAGCUUAGUAGGUAAAGCACAAGAGUCGUGGGUUCGUAUCUCACCUGAGCAC
rnacentral:tRNA from 1 species